UACGUAGGUGGCGAGCGUUACUCGGAAUCACUAGGCGUAAAGCGUGGGUAGGUGGUUCGGUAAGUCCGUUGUGAAAGCUCCCGGCUUAACUGGGAGAGGUCAACGGAUACUAUCGGGCUGGAGGGUAGCAGGGGAGGUUGGAAUUCCUGGUGUAGCGGUGAAAUGCGUAGAUAUCAGGAGGAAUACCGAUGGCGAAAGCAAGCCUCUGGGCUGUCCCUGACACUGAGCCACGAAAGCUAGGGGAGCAAACAGGAUUAGAAA
rnacentral:rRNA from 1 species